GGGCUUGACAUCCCACGAACCUGCCCGAAAAGGUGGGGUGCCCGCAAGGGAGCGUGGAGACAGGUGGUGCAUGGCUGUCGUCAGCUCGUGUCGUGAGAUGUUGGGUUAGGUCCCGCAACGAGCGCAACCCUCACCCCUAGUUGCCACCGGGUUAAGCCGAGCACUCAAGGGGAACUGCCAGCGUCAAGCUGGAGGAAGGCGGGGAUGACGUCAAGUCAUCAUGCCCCUUACGCCCUGGGCUACACACGUGCUACAAUGGCCAGUACAAAGGGACGCGAGACUGCGAAGUGGAGCUAAUCCCAAAAAGCUGGUCUAAGUUCAGAUUGCAGUCUGCUACUCGACUGCAUGAAGGAGGAAUCGCUAGUAAUCGCGUAUCAGCCCGGCGCGGUGAAUACGUUCCCGGGCCUUGUACACACCGCCCGUCACACCACGAAAGCUGUCUGUACUCGAAGUCGCUGAG
rnacentral:rRNA from 1 species